rnacentral:tRNA from 1 species
AGUAGUGAAGUAAAAAAUUACAUUUAGUUUCGACCUAAAAAUCAGAGAAAUCUCCUUACUU